rnacentral:rRNA from 1 species
AAUUAUACCGCGAAACUGCGAAUGGCUCAUUAUAUAAGUUAUCGUUUAUUUGAUAGUACCUUACUACUUGGAUAACCGUGGUAAUUCUAGAGCUAAUACAUGCUAAAAAUCCCGACUUCGGAAGGGAUGUAUUUAUUAGAUUAAAAACCAAUGCCCUUCGGGGCUCACUGGUGAUUCAUGAUAACUCCUCGAAUCGCAUGGCCUUGUGCCGGCGAUGGUUCAUUCAAAUUUCUUCCCUAUCAACUUUCGAUGUUUGGGUAUUGGCCAAACAUGGUUGCAACGGGUAACGGAGGGUUAGGGCUCGACCCCGGAGAAGGAGCCUGAGAAACGGCUACUACAUCCAAGGAAGGCAGCAGGCGCGCAAAUUACCCAAUCCCGACACGGGGAGGUAGUGACAAUAAAUACUGAUACAGGGCUCUUUUGGGUCUUGUAAUUGGAAUGAGUACAAUUUAAAUCCCUUAACGAGGAACAAUUGGAGGGCAAGUCUGGUGCCAGCAGCCGCGGUAAUUCCAGCUCCAAUAGCGUAUAUUAAAGUUGUUGUGGUUAAAAAGCUCGUAGUUGAACCUUGGGCCUGGCUGGCCGGUCCGCCUCACCGCGUGUACUGGUCCGGCCGGGCCUUUCCCUCUGUGGAACCCCAUGCCCUUCACUGGGUGUGGCGGGGAAACAGGACUUUUACUGUGAAAAAAUUAGAGUGCUCCAGGCAGGCCUAUGCUCGAAUACAUUAGCAUGGAAUAAUAGAAUAGACGUGUGGUUCUAUUUUGUUGGUUUCUAGG